CCUACCACAGCACGGCUUUUGCCAAGUGGUGCCAUGUCCGCACCCGGCAUCCGAACCGGAACCCCGGGGCCGCCGAGAAGCAGAAGUGAGGGCUUAACCACUCAGCCAUCGGGCCGGACCCUGAGGAAAGCGUUCUCAAGGCUACAAUAACUGUGCGGGGAGCCUGGCCCAGGAUUUGCUGAUACCAGAAAGGAUAGUUACUGGAAGAGACAGACCCAGAGCUAAGGCCACAGUUUUCCUGACACUUCAGAAACAUGGAAUGAAAAAUUGGGAGUAGACGCUCUAUGAAGCAGAAGCACUUCCGAAUGUCAUUUGUAUAUGUGCGAGUUACUUUAAAACUUAAAACCGUCAUGGAACAAGACUCUGAGCAGGCCCAGGUUUUUGUCCCAAAUUCCCCAUCUCUGUGUGUCACUGUGAGAGACACUACUGUGCCAGAUCUGAUGGUAAGAGUCAGCCUCGUCCUCAGGCUGGAGCCCAGAGAUAAGCAAAAAGCCUGCAUUGGCCGAGGCAUCUUUGGAUCCAGAGAAGCAGCUGGGAUCUGCUGAUCCCAAUCACAUGCUUGAGUCUGAGUAGCAGCACAGACUGGGAUAGCUGGCCACACUGACGCCCCUGCUCAGGGUGCAGACAUCUGUGUUUCCUGAAGAUGCGUGGAUCUGUUUGAGAACUGAGCUCACGAUGUGACUGCUGCGUGGCGCUUGAACAGCCCAUCGUGAGCCCACUGCGCGCACAGGCCUCCUCCUGGGCAGAGCAUCCGUGUGCAUUCUGUGUCAGAUGGUCGCCUGCGGUCUCUGCGGGCCAUGUGGUUAAUGAAGACGGCGCUGUGUGUGCAGGGAGAAGGGGCUGCACUCAAGCUCCACCCGAGCCUGGUUCCCAGCGGAGCGGCCUCUGCUGAGGCGUCAGAAGACACACGCUGGGCCUGGGGCUUUACUGAAGAGGUGACUGAGUGUGAGACAUGCACAGAAAUGAGACUCUAUAGACGGUCCUGGAAAAGAGUGUCAGCCCUGAGGCUUCAGUGCCUGUCACAGGCAGAUUCCACAGGACGUCCUGAUCUUAUGGUCCUCACGUGGGAAGGUGGCCUCACGCUGCUGGUUGCCUCUGAGAGGAAUGUUGUUCCUGAAGAAAGGUUUUCUGCUGAGUUGAGCUGAACAGGCUGAGUGUGUGAUUUUGGCAAUAGCUGAAUCUAAAGUUUCUUAGUGUCAGUGAUCUGUGGAAGGGCCUCAGAGCCUCUGCUGCUCAUCACUUUUGAAAAACAACACAGCACAUGAAAAGAGGCUCAACACCAGGGGGCAUAAGGGAAAUGCCCGUCAAAAUGCACUGAGGUAUCACACCCUCCAGACUAGAAGGGCUAUGAUAACAAUGAGAGACAAUAACAAUUGUUGGGGAAGAUGUGUGGGAACCAGAACAUGCAGAUGGUGUUGGUGGAAAUGUAAACCAGUGCGACCAUAUUGGAAAGGAUCUGACGGCUCCUCAGCACUGUAAUGUAAAGCAACACACGUCUCAGUAAUCCCCCUCCUGGGCGCCUCCCCGGCAAAUGAAGACACAUAUUCACCAAAACCAAAGCAAACAAGACUUGUACCUGAAUGUUCCUAGCAGCAUCAUUCAUACUAGCGAAAGAUGACAAACAACUCAAAUGCCCAUCAACAGGUGAAUGCAUAAACAAAUGGUGGUUUGCUCACACAAUGGAGUAUUAUUUGGAGAUUAAAAAUGGACUACUUUGCCAUGCCAUAGCAUAGAUGGACAUCAAAACUCUUAUGCAAAAGAAAUAAGUGAAAUAAGGUGGUCACAAAGGGCCACAUAUUUUCUUGGCUCCAGCUACAUGAAAUGUCCAGAAUAGGGGAAUGUAUGAAGACAGAGAGUGGAUGGGCGGUUCCCUAAGGCUGAGCAGAGAGUCAGGAAGAGUGAUCUCAAAUGGGUGGGGACGUUCUCUGAGGGAGGAUGGAAAUGAUCUAUAAUUAGAUUACAGUGACAGUUACACAGCCCUGUAAAUAUGCUGAGCACUACUGUAGACAUUACACUGGGGAGCUUUAUGACGUGCAGACUACAUCUCAAUAAAAUUAUAAACAAUGUGAGAGGGAGCUUCUGCCACUGACUCUUUAAAGUUGGUCUGUGUUCAGAGUCAGACCCUCAGAUGUUGACACUCUAGGAUGGGCCACAGUCAACCCUCUCUGUUUGUAAGAGGCAGUGUGGAGGUGAUCACAGGGAACAGGGCAUGUUUUGGUCUCGGUUCCCCAUGGGUCCGGAGCACUGUGUUAUUGCUGAUGCUAUUGUCCCAUGCUGAACAGUAAUAAUCAGCCUCAUCCUCAGGCUGGAGCCCAGAGAUGGUCAGAUAGGCCGUGUUGCCGGACUUGGAGCUAGAGAACCGAGCUGGGAUCCCUGAGGGCCAAGAACUUCUGAGCAUCACAGUUUUGGGGGCACCGUGAGAAAUUUGGUACCAGCCCACAUCAAAUAUUCCAACGUUGUUGCUAUUUCC
rnacentral:lncRNA from 1 species